rnacentral:sRNA from 1 species
UGUCGUCACGUACAAACGCUAGAGGGC